rnacentral:rRNA from 1 species
CACGUAGGGGGCGAGCGUUGUCCGGAAUCAUUGGGCGUAAAGCGCGCGUAGGCGGACCUGCAAGUCGGGGGUGAAAGCCCGAGGCUCAACCUCGGAACUGCCUUCGAUACUGCGGGUCUCGAGUCCGGGAGAGGUGAGUGGAAUUCCGUAGUGUAGAGGUGAAAUUCGUAGAUAUUAGGAAGAACACCAGGUGCGAAGGCGGCUCACUGGCCCGGUACUGACGCUGAGGCGCGAAAGCGUGGGGAGCAAACAGG